rnacentral:rRNA from 1 species
AGCAGUCGCCACGGUAAUACGGAGGGUGCGAGCGUUAAUCGGAAUAACUGGGCGUAAAGGGCACGCAGGCGGUUAUUUAAGUGAGGUGUGAAAGCCCCGGGCUUAACCUGGGAAUUGCAUUUCAGACUGGGUAACUAGAGUACUUUAGGGAGUGGUAGAAUUCCACGUGUAGCGGUGAAAUGCGUAGAGAUGUGGAGGAAUACCGAAGGCGAAGGCAGCCCCUUGGGAAUGUACUGACGCUCAUGUGCGAAAGCGUGGGGAGCAAACAGGAUUAGAGACCCCCGUAGUCCCUGUCUCUUAUAA